rnacentral:rRNA from 1 species
AUUGAACGCUGGCGGCAGGCCUAACACAUGCAAGUCGAGCGGUAGCACAGGAGAGCUUGCUCUCCGGGUGACGAGCGGCGGACGGGUGAGUAAUGUCUGGGAAACUGCCUGAUGGAGGGGGAUAACUACUGGAAACGGUAGCUAAUACCGCAUAACGUCGCAAGACCAAAGAGGGGGACCUUCGGGCCUCUUGACAUCAGAUGUGCCCAGAUGGGAUUAGCUAGUAGGUGGGGUAACGGCUCACCUAGGCGACGAUCCCUAGCUGGUGUGAGAGGAUGACCAGCCACACUGGAACGGAGACACGGUCCAAACUCCUACGGGAGGGAGCAGUGGGGAAUAUUGCACAAUGGGCGCAAGCCUGAUGCAGCCAUGCCGCGUGUAUGAAGAAGGCCUUCGGGUUGUAAAGUACUUUCAGCGGGGAGGAAGGUGUUGUGGUUAAUAACCACAGCAAUUGACGUUACCCGCAGAAGAAGCACCGGCUAACUCCGUGCCAGCAGCCGCCGUAAGAC